rnacentral:rRNA from 1 species
CAAGUCGAGCGGUAACAGACAUAAAGAUUUAGCUUGCUAAAUCCGGUGCUGACGAGCGGCGAACGGGUGAGUAACACGUAGGAAUCUACCCAGUAGCGGGGGAUAGCCCAGGGAAAACUUGGAUUAAUACCGCAUACACCCUAUGGGGAAAAGAAGGCCUCUCUUUGAAGCUUUCACUAUUGGAUGAGCCUGCGUAAGAUUAGCUUGUUGGUGGGGUAAAGGCCUACCCAAGGCAACGAUCUUUAGCUGGUCUGAGAGGACGAUCAGCCACAUUGGGACUGAGACACGGCCCAGACUUCUACGGAAGGCAGCAGUUAGGAAUAUUGGACAAUGGGGGCAACCCUGAUCCAGCUAUACCGCGUGUGUGAAGAAGGCCCUAGGGUUGUAAAGCACUUUAAGCAGGGAAGAAGCAUAUUAAGUUAAUAUCUUAAUAUGUUGACGUUACCUGAAGAAUAAGGACCGGCUAACUCCGUGCCAGCAGCCGCGGUAAUACGGAGGGUCCAAGCGUUAAUCGGAAUUACUGGGCGUAAAGCGCGCGUAGGCGGUUUAAUAAGUUGUAUGUGAAAGCCCUGGGCUCAACCUAGGAACUGCAUACAAAACUAUUAAGCUUGAGGACGAGAGAGGAGAGUAGAAUUUCAGGUGUAGCGGUGAAAUGCGUAGAUAUCUGAAGGAAUACCAAUGGCGAAGGCAGCUCUCUGGCUCGUUUCUGACGCUAAGGUGCGAAAGCGUGGGUAGCAAACAGGAUUAGAUAUCCUGGUAGUCCACGCCGUAAACGAUGAUAACUAGCCGUUGGGCAGAUUUAACUGUUCAGUGGCACAGCUAACGCAUUAAGUUAUCCGCUGGGGAGUACGC